UUAAGUGACGAAGCGUAUACGGUGGAUGCCUUGGCAGUUAGAGGCGAUGAAGGACGUGUAAGUCUGCGAAAAGCUGUGGUGAGCCGACAAAAUGCAUUUGAGCCACAGAUGUCCGAAUGGGGAAACCCACCUGUUUACAGGUAUCGUUAACUGAAUACAUAGGUUAACGAGGCAAACGAGGGGAACUGAAACAUCUAAGUACCCUUAGGAAAAGAAAUCAACCGAGAUUCCCCUAGUAGCGGCGAGCGAACGGGGAGCAGCCCUUAAGCUGUUUAGAAUUUAGUGGAAUCCUUUGGGAAGAGGAGCGAUACAAGGUGAUAGCCCUGUACACGACGGAUUCUUUACAGUGAAAUCGAGUAGGUCGGGACACGUGUUAUCUUGACUGAAUAUGGGGGGACCAUCCUCCAAGGCUAAAUACUCCUAACUGACCGAUAGUGAACCAGUACCGUGAGGGAAAGGCGAAAAGAACCCCUGUGAGGGGAGUGAAAUAGAACCUGAAACCGUAUACGUACAAGCAGUGGGAGCCCUUCGGGGUGACUGCGUACCUUUUGUAUAAUGGGUCAGCGACUUAUAUUUAGUAGCAAGGUUAAGUGAAUAACGGAGCCGUAGCGAAAGCGAGUGUUAACUGCGCGUUUAGUUGCUAGGUAUAGACCCGAAACCCGGUGAUCUAGCCAUGGGCAGGUUGAAGGUUGAGUAACAUCAACUGGAGGACCGAACCCACUAACGUUGAAAAGUUAGGGGAUGACCUGUGGCUGGGGGUGAAAGGCCAAUCAAACCGGGAGAUAGCUGGUUCUCCCCGAAAUCUAUUUAGGUAGAGCCUCGGACGAAUUCCAUUGGGGGUAGAGCACUGUUAAGGCUAGGGGGUCAUCCCGACUUACCAACCCUUUGCAAACUCCGAAUACCAAUGAGAACUAUCCGGGAGACACACGGCGGGUGCUAACGUCCGUCGUGGAGAGGGAAACAACCCAGACCGCCAGCUAAGGUCCCAAAAUAUUGCUAAGUGGGAAACGAUGUGGGAAGGCAUAGACAGCUAGGAGGUUGGCUUAGAAGCAGCCACCCUUUAAAGAAAGCGUAAUAGCUCACUAGUCGAGUCGGCCUGCGCGGAAGAUGUAACGGGGCUAAGCAAUAUACCGAAGCUGCGGCAGCAAGUUUACUUGCUGGGUAGGGGAGCGUUGUGUAAGUGGAUGAAGGUGAGUUGUAAAGCUUGCUGGACAUAUCACAAGUGCGAAUGCUGACAUGAGUAACGAUAAUGGGAGUGAAAAACUCCCACGCCGGAAGACCAAGGUUUCCUGUCCCAUGCUAAUCAGGGCAGGGUAAGUCGGCCCCUAAGGCGAGGCAGAAAUGCGUAGUCGAUGGGAAACGGGUUAAUAUUCCCGUACUUAUAUAAUCAGUGAUGGAGGGACGGAGAAGGCUAGGCAAGCUUGGCGUUGGUUGUCCAAGUGAAAGUGAGUAGGCUGAAGACUUAGGUAAAUCCGGGUUUUCAAGGCCGAGACACGAGACGAGCCACUAAGGUGGUGAAGUUGUUGAUGCCCUGCUUCCAGGAAAAGCUUCUAAACUUAUGAUUAUAUGAACCGUACCCCAAACCGACACAGGUGGUCAGGUAGAGAAUACUAAGGCGCUUGAGAGAACUCGGGUGAAGGAACUCGGCAAAAUUGUACCGUAACUUCGGGAGAAGGUACGCCUCUGUUUGUGAACACUUCGCGUGGUAAGCAAAUGGAGGCCGCAGUGACCAGGUGGCUGGGACUGUUUAUUAAAAACACAGCACUCUGCAAACUCGUAAGAGGACGUAUAGGGUGUGACACCUGCCCGGUGCCGGAAGGUUAAUUGAUGGGGUUAGUUUUCGGACGAAGCUCUUGAUCGAAGCCCCGGUAAACGGCGGCCGUAACUAUAACGGUCCUAAGGUAGCGAAAUUCCUUGUC
rnacentral:rRNA from 1 species